UCGAGUGACAGAAAGAAGAGAAAAAGAAAAAAAAAUGAAAAAGACCUCAUGUUUUCAUGUUUCCAAUUUGGAAGGUUUUCGUUGUUUUCGUUGUUUUCUUUCUCUUUUUU
rnacentral:ribozyme from 1 species